rnacentral:lncRNA from 13 species
UGACUCUGCAGUCAUGCUGCAAUUGCUCUCAUUCUGGUGCCCUGUUCUUAAGAGCUGCCAGUGUGGAGACUGUCCAGCCCCGGGGCAGGGAAAAUAACAUCUGGGAGACAGCCAAGCAUCCUCAGUGAAACCCCCACCGCUACUAAGGCUGAAGAUGAACAUAUUGUGCUGAAUUUUUUCAACUCUGGGAGGGAUGAGGACAACAGGACCAGACUCUUUUCAGUGGUGGCCAGCAACAGGACAUGGACACCAGGCACAAACUGAAACACAGGAAGUUCGAUCUGAAUAUGAGAAAAACUUAGCUGUGAGGGUGACAAAGCCCUGGAACGGGCUGCCCAGAGAGGCUGUGGAGUCUCCUUCCCUGGAGUUAUUCAAUCCCCAUCUGGAUGCCAUCCUGUACAACCUUCUCAGGGGAAUCUGCUUCAGCAGGGGCUGGGCCAGGUAAGAAGAAAAGCUAC